rnacentral:rRNA from 1 species
UACGGGGGGGGCAAGCGUUGUUCGGAAUUACUGGGCGUAAAGGGCUCGUAGGCGGCCAACUAAGUCAGACGUGAAAUCCCUCGGCUUAACCGGGGAACUGCGUCUGAUACUGGAUGGCUUGAGGUUGGGAGAGGGAUGCGGAAUUCCAGGUGUAGCGGUGAAAUGCGUAGAUAUCUGGAGGAACACCGGUGGCGAAGGCGGCGAUCCUGGACCA